rnacentral:rRNA from 1 species
CCUUGUACACACCGCCCGUCACACCAUGGGAGCGGGUUCUGCCAGAAGUAGUUAGCCUAACCGCAAGGAGGGCGAUUACCACGGCAGGGUUCGUGACUGGGGGUG